rnacentral:misc_RNA from 1 species
GAUGAAGAACGCAGCGAAAUGCGAUAAGUAAUGCGAAUUGCAGAAUCCGUGAGUCAUCGAAUCUUUGAACGCACAUUGCGCCCUCUGGUAUUCCGGGGGGCAUGCCUGUCCGAGCGUCAUUACAACCCUCAAGCUCAGCUUGGUGUUGGGCCCCGCCGCCCCGGCGGGCCCUAAAGUCAGUGGCGGUGCCGUCCGGCUCCGAGCGUAGUAAUUCUUCUCGCUCUGGAGGUCCGGUCGUGUGCUCGCCAGCAACCCCCAAUUUUUUUCAGGUUGACCUCGGAUCAGGUAGGGAUACCCGCUGAACUUAAGCAUAUCAAUAAGCGGAGGA